rnacentral:rRNA from 1 species
GAAUAUUGCACAAUGGGGGAAACCCUGAUGCAGCAACGCCGCGUGAGCGAUGAAGGCCUUCGGGUCGUAAAGCUCUGUCCUAUGGGAAGAACAAAUGACGGUACCAUAGGAGGAAGCCCCGGCUACCUACGUGCCAGCAGCCGCGGUAAUACGUAGGGGGCAAGCGUUAUCCGGAAUCACUGGGCGUAAAGGGGGCGUAGGCGGUCGACAAAGUCUGGGGUGAAAGGCUACGGCUCAACCGUAGUAAGCCUUGGAAACUUGUUGACUUGAGUGCAGGAGAGGUAAGUGGAAUUCCUAGUGUAGCGGUGAAAUGCGUAGAUAUUAGGAGGAACACCAGUGGCGAAGGCGACUUACUGGACUGUAACUGACGCUGAGGCACGAAAGCGUGGGGAGCAAACAGG